rnacentral:rRNA from 1 species
CGGAGGGUGCAAGCGUUAUCCGGAUUUACUGGGUUUAAAGGGUGUGUAGGCGGAUUUUUAAGUCAGAGGUGAAAUCUCCAGGCUCAACCUGGAAACUGCCCCUGAUACUAUUAGUCUUGAAUAUUGAUGAGGUGGGCGGAACGGGUCAUGUAGCGGUGAAAUGCUUAGAGAUGACCCGGAACACCAAUUGCGAAGGCAGCUCACUGGGCAAUUAUUGACGCUGAGGCACGAAAGCGUGGGGAUCAAACAGGAUUAGAUACCCUGGUAGUCCACGCCCUAAACGAUGAUUACUGGACGUUGGCGAUAUGACCGAUCAGCGUCUCUGAAGCGAAAGCAUUAAGUAAUCCACCUGGGAAGUACGUUCGCAAGAAUG